rnacentral:rRNA from 1 species
UACGAAGGGGGCUAGCGUUGCUCGGAAUCACUGGGCGUAAAGCGCACGUAGGCGGCUUUCUAAGUCAGGGGUGAAAUCCUGGAGCUCAACUCCAGAACUGCCUUUGAUACUGGAGAGCUAGAGUCCGGAAGAGGUGAGUGGAACUGCGGGUGUAGAGGUGAAAUUCGUAGAUAUUCGCAAGAACACCAGUGGCGAAGGCGGCUCACUGGUCCGGUACUGACGCUGAGGUGCGAAAGCGUGGGGAGCAAACAGG